GUACAUCUUUAUUGUAAGUCGCUUUGGAUAAAAGCGUCUGCCAAAUGUUAAUGU
rfam:Astyanax mexicanus chromosome 10, whole genome shotgun sequence.